rnacentral:lncRNA from 1 species
AUCUAUCUAUAGGAGAGUAAAUAUAUAUAUAUGUAAUAAAGAAGGUAGGGAAAGAAUUAAAACAAGGGAAAUUAAAGUGUCAAAUCUUUUUCAAAGUAUAGGAGACACAUGCAAAAAAGAAAACAGUAUUAAAAUGAGUUAAGUGACCAUCUGAUGACAUCAAAAGAUACCCCAACAUAAUCCCCAUUGAAGAAGCUGCUGGUUGUUGCAAAAACUUGAAGUUGGUUACAUGACCUCUUUGUAAUUAAUAAUGGCAGCAUCCCAGAGAGAUGAUAUAUAUAUAUAUAUAUAUAGGUGUCUAUAUAUAUAUAUAUAUAUAUAUAAAAGGAAACAAG